rnacentral:rRNA from 1 species
GGGGAAUAUUGGACAAUGGGCGCAAGCCUGAUCCAGCCAUGCCGCGUGGGUGAAGAAGGCCUUCGGGUUGUAAAGCCCUUUUGUUGGGAAAGAAAAGCAGCCGGCCAAUACCCGGUUGUUCUGACGGUACCCAAAGAAUAAGCACCGGCUAACUUCGUGCCAGCAGCCGCGGUAAUACGAAGGGUGCAAGCGUUACUCGGAAUUACUGGGCGUAAAGCGUGCGUAGGCGGCUUUUUAAGUCGGAUGUGAAAUCCCCGAGCUUAACUUGGGAAUUGCAUUCGAUACUGGGAAGCUAGAGUAUGGGAGAGGAUGGUAGAAUUCCGAGUGUAGAGGUGAAAUUCGUAGAUAUUCGGAGGAACACCAGUGGCGAAGGCGGCUCACUGGACCAUUACUGACGCUGAGGUGCGAAAGCGUGGGGAGCAAACA